AUAUUCCUUAAUCUGAAAUUAUCAAUCUUUUACUGUGAAGAAACUUAGAGUAGUUCAAAAGCAAAAACAUCUUAUGUUCUAUUAGAAAAAUUCAGCAUGGGAUAAUAAAAUAAGCUCAUACCAAACGUAAUCCUAUUCCGAUUUUCGGAUUGUUGUUGCACAACAAUGCGUUUUAGCUAGAGAAUGAUUGAUAGGGGCGGUCGAGGGCACUCGUACCCAGAGGUCAGAGGUGAAAUUCUUGGAUUCUCGGGAGACGAACUUAUGCGAAGGCGUUUGCCAAGGACGCUUUCUUUGAUCAAGAACGAAAGUUAGGGGAUCGAAGACGAUCAGAUACCGUCGUAGUCUUAACCUUAAACGAUGCCGACUGUAGAUUAGAAGACGUUAAUCAAAGGAAAGUUCUUUGCUUUCCUCUAAACUGACUCCUCUAGCAUACUGUGAGAAAUCACAAGUGUUUGGGUUCCGGGGG
rnacentral:rRNA from 1 species